rnacentral:lncRNA from 1 species
CAGGAGGCCUCCGUCGGCCUUGUCCCCAACCUCGGUUCUUCGAGCAGGAGAGGACAAAGGACCUUUAGGAAGGCGUAUCCCACCAAUGGGUUGGGCUGCCCCGUCAUCAGACAAGCUAGCCCUCUAGAUCCCCGCAGUGCCAGGUGACAGUCCCCCAAACAGUCCCCACGGAUCCGGAGCACUCAAGCUGCGGCGCGAUGGGCCGAGCCACGCUGGGGACCGGGGAACUCGGGGUUCUGGCCCGACGCAUCCAAGGCGCGAUCCCUGUUUGGUGGAACUCGCCCAGCCGAGGUCUUACCUUCUCUCAUUGACUCCAGCAGUCCAACCCGCCCGGAGUCCGGUUCCCGCAGCUCCGCAGCUGCCGGCUGCGCUCAUAGAAAUACAGCCGGAACCCCUGGCCAGCGCAGCUCCCGCCGCUACCGGCCCCGCCCAGGCAACUGCCGCCACGCCUCUGACGACCGCCUCUGCUACGCCCCCAAGCAAGGCUCUCCCAGUGUCCAUUGGAUCACCCAGCCGCCACUCUAUUUGUUCAGCGCGUUUGUUGCGUCUAUAUGGUGGCCCAUUGGUCAGUAGGACUGCUCCUCAAGGUGGAGGCGGAGAUUCUUAGCGGGCAAUUCUCCUAUAAUUGGUUACUUUUGAUGUCUUUAGCCAGUGGGCCUAGAUGCUAUUGGGCUGGGUUCUACCAUUCUGUGAACCUGAGGCUCCGUUCGCAACAGCACGUGCCUGAUGAAGGAGAGAAUACUGACAACCCGAAAGGGAACUCCAGUGAGGCAGCCACCGACACACUGCCAAGGCACGCAGUGUGGCUCCAAGAGAAGAGGCAGGAGACAGAAGGAACACAUAGCCAGAGGAAGGAAUUUAGAUUUGAAGCAAUGCUAAAUUUUCUCUUAAUACAUUUCCGGACCCUGACAAGGAAAGCAUGAGCCAACUCAAGGAGGAGGAGCCAGCACGGGUCUCCUGUUUGUUAUUCCAGCAGGAAGCCGAGACAGGAGGAUUGCUUUAAGUUGAAGCUACAUAAUGAGUCCUCCUCCAUCACAAUGAGGCCUUGUCACAAACAAACAAAGCAAUGUGAGCAAGUAGCAGCUUUUGAAGGCUGCUUAGUGCGGAUCCAGAAGUCUCUCUAAAAUAUCCCUCAGACUCCCCCAUUUCUCACUUUGAAGGUAUGGGACACCCCCAGAGUGUGGAUGGAAAUAGACUCUUGGAUUGAACCCCAGACCUUUCAAAGCACCCAUAACUGUGGGACAGUAGAGAGGAGGAGAGGCUCCAUUGCUCUUCGGUUUUCCCCCAGUUGCCAUGUUACCUCAAUAAAGUUUCUCCUCAAUAUUUAUUUAUUCCUCUG